rnacentral:snoRNA from 1 species
AACGCAAAUUUCACAGCCAUUCGUAACUACUACAGCAUCUCCUUGAGGUCGAGCUCAAUUCUUUUGAAUCGACGCUGACCCAUGACGAGUUAGGUAUUUGUUGCAUUUUAUUUUUUGCUUGGACUGGAGACGAAAAUUUGUUGAUCUUGGGUGCAGUAUUCCAUUCGAAUUAACUUUGUUUAAUUCUAAGGGACCUCCUUCGUGAACCCGAAUGGGGAGUAGUGCAAUGAUCGGCAAGACAUCC